GUCCCUUUUGCCAUUGUAUAGUAGUGUUUAUUUGUUUUCACCCAGUGAACCCCUUUUUGAUUUCUUGUUGUUUUGUGUAGAAACCUUUUAUUUGGCCAUUGUGACUAUUUUGUGUUUAGGCUAUUUGUUUAAUUGAAGUCUUUUGUUUAACUGCAACCUUGCUAUUCUGUCACAAAUGCUCUUUUUUCAGGUUCAGAUGGAACCCUUGUUUAGAAGAAAGGCUGAUGGCAGCUCAACCUGACUGAUACAAAGUGAUCCAUAAGCUGGUAUCGCCCCAGAAGGUUCAACCAUCUCUGAUGACUGGUGCUGAACUGAGCAACCAAGAACUCCUGAAAAAUCAUACCUUCUUAUACUGGACCAUGCAAAUACACAGGGGAACUAAUUGGUGUGGAGUAUUUGUACAAUCAGUUCUCCAUGACGACGGUGCCAUGAUUGAGAGGUUGGAGGCUGGCUCUGAUCUGUCUAUUGAAUUGGAGGAAGAGGAGG